rnacentral:rRNA from 1 species
GACGAACGCUGGCGGCGUGGAUUAGGCAUGCAAGUCGAACGGUAUCAUCCUUUCGGGGUGAGAGAGUGGCGAACUGGUGAGUAACACGUAGGUUAUCUACCCUCAAGACGGGGACAACCCAGGGAAACUUGGGCUAAUACCGGAUGUGAGCAACUUUUAGUUGUUUGAAAGGUGGCGUAAGCUGUCGCUUGGGGAUGAGCCUGCGUCCUAUUAGUUAGUUGGUGAGGUAACGGCUCACCUAGGCAAUGAUAGGUAGGCGGCCUUAACGGGUGGUCGCCCACACUGGGAUUGAGAUACGGCCCAGACUCCUACGGGAGGCAGCAGUCGAGAAUAGUCUACAAUGGUCGGAAGACUGAUAGUGCGACGCCGCGUGAACGAUGAAUCCCUUCGGGGUGUAAAAGUUCUUUUAUAUGUGAGCAGUGCUUCUUAUAUUAACAGUAUGGGGAGAGAGAUAUUAGCAUAUGAAUAAGCAACGGCUAAACUCCGUGCCAGCAGCCGCGGUAAAAA